GACGAACGCUGGCGGCGUGCUUAACACAUGCAAGUCGAACGAUGAAAUUCUGACGGAGGCUUCGGCCAACUGAGGGAUGGAUUAGUGGCGGACGGGUGAGUAACGCGUGAGUAACCUGCCUUUCAGAGUGGAAUAACAUUUGGAAACGAAUGGUAAUACCGCAUAACGUCACGAGGUCGCAUGACCUUGUGACCAAAGGAGCAAUCCGCUGAAAGAUGGACUCGCGUCCGAUUAGCUAGUUGGAGAGGUAACAGCUCCCCAAGGCGACGAUCGGUAGCCGGACUGAGAGGUUGAACGGCCACAUUGGGACUGAGACACGGCCCAG
rnacentral:rRNA from 1 species